UCUCUAAACACUAUUCUCUCUCAAUAUUCUCUUUAUUCUUCUUCAUUCGAAUUGUUCUUUAUUCUCUCAACCUCUCACGGUCAUAAACUCUCUAAAUCUCAAAGUUUCAAACCGUGAGAUGGUGUUUUGUUUUUCUUUUGGGUUCACUUGCUUUCUCAAGGAAGUAGAGCAAGUGCGAAGUGUUCUGAAGUAGUCACAUGAUCUGGAGGUCAGUUGUGGCUAGAUUCAAACACUAAAGGCUUCAAGAAAGCCAUAAAGAUUCGCAGCACAAUGCUUGGAGUUUGAACCAGUAACCAUAAAGCUACGGAGACCACAAGACAAGCCCAACAUAGUCUUAACCCGACUGACUUGAAGAUGGUGGACCAAAGAGGCUGACCUGAAGACAGCGGACCCCAAGGUUGCUAAGGUGGAAGUUCAAGUGGAGAGGAAAGCUGGUUUAACGAGGAGGAGUAGGAUCAUGGAAAUUCUCAAAAGAAGGAAAAGAUGGCAUGAAGAGGUGCAUAAUAAGGAGAAAUCAAGUCAAUAAAGGCUAAAGGAAUGAAAACACUUGGGAGGAAGGAGCCAGUUCAAAAUCAAUUUCAAACCAAGGCCAUCGCUACAUCAACUUGGCCUCUGGUCCUCUUUGGCGUCUCGACGACCAAGCUUGCAGGGGAGUAUUAGAGAGGAAGAAGAAAUGAAGUAGGAGAGGUCAAAGUCAAGAAGACAAGGCCGAACAAAAGAAAGAAAAGAGGAGGGGAGUCAAGGCCAAAGUUACAAGACAAAGCCGAAGACAUCUAAGACUCCUCAAUAAAGAACUUCAAGUAAUCAGAUUUUUACUUAGGAGAAGUAACGCUCAAGCAAAAGAAGAAUCAAGUAAACAAGGACUGAAUGAAGAUUAAGCCAAUGGAGCAAACAAAAUUCACUCUAGGCUUCAAGAUGGUGCAAGGGCUGAAUUGUAUGGUUACAAUGAAGGCCCAAGACGUGUCUAGACUAAGCAACCCAUGAAGAAAGGAAGAGAAGGUGGCUGCUAAGUUCAAAUAUGGUUUAUGCGCCAAAGGGAGAUGUCACAUGUUCUUGGAAGCAAAAGAAUCAUAUGUGAGCAUAAAAGUGACCUAGGAGAGGUCACUAUCACUCCAAGAAGGCGCCCAUAGCUGUUGGAGUCAAGAGUCACACAUGUUCCCUUAAUUUAAAUUCAAAAUAGGGACAUGUGACUCUCAAGAGUGUGAACACACCAAAAAAAACCAUGAGAUGUCACUUUCAAGAGUGUGAACACAAAAUAAAGAAGACAUGUGACUCUGUAAUACAGAACAAUAUUUUAGAAUGUCCACACUAGGGUUUCUCAUGUGUAAUUCUCUAUAUCUAUGGCUGUAAUGUGUUCACAAGCAUUAUCUUAAUAUACACAAGUAGUU